rnacentral:rRNA from 1 species
AUGACUAGCACCCAACAGAGUGAGAGUGCAAACCACAUGCUUAAAAAUUACGUGCCGCCAGCAUGCCCGAUGAAUGUUUUCGUUAAGCAGUAUGGCAAGCUACAAUAUGACAGGGAACAGGAGGAAGGAUUUCAAGAGAAAAGAACAAGGCUGGGUGGAGCUGUUAUAAAAUCAAAUCUUCCAAUAGAGCGUCACGCAAGGAAGAUUUAUACAAGGACAAUGUUUGAGAUGUUUGGAAGGACGCUUUAUGUGGCUGGCUACUAUUUUGUUGAAGAGUUAGAACCAAAAAUAAGAUAUGUUGCCAUACAUGGGAACCCUGAAAGCAUGGAUCUGUGGUUCAAAACUAAGUAUGAGGUGGUUAUAGCCGAAGACCAAUCAAAAUACAGUUGCGAGUGUGGAAGAUACGAGCACAUGGGAAUGAUUUGCUCUCAUAUACUAAAGGUUAUGAUAAUACUUGAUGUGAAGAAAAUCCCACAAGCACACAUAAUGAAGAGAUGGACACUAGAAGCUCGAGAUGUUUUGCCGGAUCAUAUCAAGCAUUACCAGAGAGACAUGGGGCCACCUGAUGCAAUGACAUUCAGGCAUUCUGCAAUGUACAUAACAAAAUUGGAGAUUGUCCAUCUUGGUGACAGCAAUCCUGAGGCUUUUGAGUAUGUCAUGAAUGGACUUUGUGAUUUAAAACAGAAAGCUAUGGCAUUAAACCUUAACAAAGACGGGUUGAGUGUGAUAGAGAAGUCGAAAGCAUCAAGCAUGACAAACUCCGUGGGUUCCCGAACAUCUUGCAAAACAAUGAAGACGAAGCGCCCAAGUGUUUCCAAAGAGUCUGUUUCCAACUCUUCACGUGUUAACCCCAUCGAGCCAAAUUUUGUUUGUAGUAGUGAAGUGUCCUCAAGAGAAGUUUUGUUAGCACCAGAAAGGAGGCUGAAAAGAGGAUACCCAACCACAUCACGUGACAAAGCGCCGUAUGAAGAUUCACAGAAGCGGACACGUUUCGGUAGUGUUUGUCGUGGAAAAGGCCACAAGAGCACUACUUGUCCACAAAGGGGAGAUCUGCCAGUUAAACCACGCAAAGAACCGCUUUGUAGCAAUUGCAAAGUUUCUGGUCAUAGGAAGAAUAGUUGCUCCAAGAAAAUGGUAAGUUUCAUGGAAGGGAUUAGUACAUUCCCAGGUCUGUCCACUGUGGGUGUUGAAGAGCUGGACUGA